rnacentral:rRNA from 1 species
UCGGCUCCCGAGUUGUAAUUUGUAGAGGAUGCCUCGGGGGGUGCUUCGGCCCAAGUUCCUUGGAACAGGAUACCACAGAGGGUGAGAGUCCCGUAUCCGGCCGGCAGUGCCCUCCGCGCGAGGCUCCUUCGACGAGUCGAGUUGUUUGGGAAUGCAGCUCUAAGCGGGUGGUAAAUUCCAUCUAAAGCUAAAUACUGGCCAGAGACCGAUAGCGAACAAGUAGAGUGAUCGAAAGAUGAAAAGCACUUUGAAAAGAGAGUCAAACAGUACGUGAAAUUGUUGAAAGGGAAGCGUAUGGGGGCAGACUUGGCCGCGGGGUUCAGGGUGUCUUUUGGCGCCUGUACUUCCCCGUGGGCAGGCCAGCAUCGGUUUUGGGGGUUGGAUAAAGGCGUCGGGAAUGUGGCUCCCCUCGGGGAGUGUUAUAGCCCGUCGCGCAAUGCAGCCACCCGGGAUCGAGGACCGCGCUUCGGCAAGGAUGCUGGCGUAAUGGCCUCAUACGGCCCGUCUUGAAACACGGACCAAGGAGUCUAACAUCUAUGCGAGUGUUUGGGUGUCAAGCCCGAGCGCGCAAUGAAAGUGAACGGAGGUGGGAGCCCGUAAAAAGGCGCACCAUC